rnacentral:miRNA from 1 species
UAGGGUGACCAACCAUCCUGGUUUGCCUGGGACUAAGCAGUUCCCAGGAUGAGGGUCUUUCAAU